GGGCGUCCAUGACCCCCAGCACCAGCCGCGCCACACCAAACACCCCACUACCCCCGGGCCCAGGAUGUACAUAUCAACCAUCACCUUGAUGUAAGUCGAGUCGUAGGCUGAAUUGCUUGUAAGUUAAAGUUAUUUGCUGGUUUAGAGACCAAGCAGUAUUUCUGUUGCAUCCUUUGCAUGGGUGAACUUACUUUUUAAUGUAAUUGGAGUUGCUUGGCCACUGUGAGCUUGCAUGACCUGGAAUCAAGCCUCCACCUAUUGUCUUGAGGGUCUAAUUUUGAUUCAUCGGUUGUCCUGCUAAUAAUUUUGAUUAGAUGAAUCAAAAUUAGACCCUCAAGACAA
rnacentral:misc_RNA from 1 species